rnacentral:rRNA from 1 species
AUUGAACGCUGGCGGCAUGCCUUAUACAUGCAAGUCGAACGGCAGCACGGGAGCAAUCCUGGUGGCGAGUGGCGAACGGGUGAGUAAUAUAUCGGAACGUGCCCAGUCGUGGGGGAUAACGUAGCGAAAGCUACGCUAAUACCGCAUACGAUCUAUGGAUGAAAGCGGGGGAUCGCAAGACCUCGCGCGAUUGGAGCGGCCGAUAUCAGAUUAGGUAGUUGGUGGGGUAAAGGCUCACCAAGCCGACGAUCUGUAGCUGGUCUGAGAGGACGACCAGCCACACUGGGACUGAGACACGGCCCAGACUCCUACGGGAGGCAGCAGUGGGGAAUUUUGGACAAUGGGCGCAAGCCUGAUCCAGCAAUGCCGCGUGCAGGAUGAAGGCCUUCGGGUUGUAAACUGCUUUUGUACGGAGCGAAAAGGCUCUCUCUAAUACAGGGGGCUCAUGACGGUACCGUAAGAAUAAGCACCGGCUAACUACGUGCCAGCCGCCGCCGUAAAAC